rnacentral:lncRNA from 10 species
CUGCCAUGUUGUGAGUUGCCCUGUGGAGAGGCCCAUGUGGAAAGGAACUGAGAGAGGGCUCUGGCUAAAACCACUGAGACACGGAGGCCCUCAGUCUGACAGCCUAAGAGGAACUGAAUCCCGCCAUCGGCCAUGAACUGGAGAAAGAAUGAUGUCUGCCUGUCCCUGGGCCCUGUGAAGAUCUCUGUGGCCACUCGCACUUUGGGAAUUUUGCUGCAUAAUUUCGAAAAAAACUAGUGCAUGUUGUCAGCUUCAUUCCUAGUAUGUCUAAGCCAUGAACUCAGGUGGGAAAAGGGGGAGGGGGAUGAUACUCUGGUGUUCUAACUGGCUAAGCUUCCUCUUGGGAAGAAUUAAAAAUAAACAGGCAAAGGAAAGGAAGGAACCAC